AUGAACAUCUACAACUUCUUGAACCAUCUUUUAUCAUCCUGCUCUGCAAAUAGUGCAGCAAUUCAGAGAUCGUUUGACUUCACGACUGGCUGGGGUAUGGAGGCUAUCCUGAAACCACCAAGAAGAAAGCCCGGCUCCUGUUUCCAAUCGUAUACCGAAGAGCAGUUUAAGUUCAUCUGUGGGAGCACUGGUUUCAUUCUUAGAAACUGCUACAUAUUUCUGUGCAUCAAAGAUAUAUGGAGGCUGAACAAGCAUGGUUUUCAAGAUACAAUGCCGAUCUUUUAUCAUACUGUACCUGCCAUGUAA
rnacentral:rRNA from 1 species